rnacentral:rRNA from 1 species
CCUACGGGGGGCAGCAGUGGGGAAUAUUGGACAAUGGGGGGAACCCUGAUCCAGCCAUGCCGCGUGUGUGAAGAAGGCCCUCGGGUUGUAAAGCACUUUCAGUGAGGAAGAACGCCUGGUGGUUAAUACCCAUCAGGAAAGACAUCACUCACAGAAGAAGCACCGGCUAACUCCGUGCCAGCAGCCGCGGUAAUACGGAGGGUGCGAGCGUUAAUCGGAAUUACUGGGCGUAAAGCGCGCGUAGGUGGCUUGAUAAGCCGGUUGUGAAAGCCCCGGGCUCAACCUGGGAACGGCAUCCGGAACUGUCAAGCUAGAGUGCAGGAGAGGAAGGUAGAAUUCCCGGUGUAGCGGUGAAAUGCGUAGAGAUCGGGAGGAAUACCAGUGGCGAAGGCGGCCUUCUGGACUGGCACUGACACUGAGGUGCGAAAGCGUGGGUAGCAAACAGGAUUAGAUACCCCUGUAGUC